GACGUAGGGCGCGAGCGUUGUCCGGAUUGACUGGGCGUAAAGCGCACGCAGGCGGCUGCGCGCGUGGGGUGUGAAAUCUGGCCGCUUAACGGCCAGGCGCCAUCCCAUACGGCACAUCUGGAGGGCUGCAGAGGUCGAUGGAAUUGCCGGUGUAGUGGUGAAAUGCGUAGAUAUCGGAAGGAACAUCAGUGGCGAAAGCGACUUCCUGGACCAGUACCGACGUUCAGGCACGAAAGCGUGGGGAGCAAACAGG
rnacentral:rRNA from 1 species